rnacentral:rRNA from 1 species
GGAAGUGGGGGUGUGCAUACACGUGCAUCUCGAGCGGACCGACGGAGAGCUUGCUCCCUUAGGUCAGCGGCGGAGGGGUGAGUAACACGUGGGUAACCUGCCUGUAAGACUGGGAUAACUCCGGGAAACCGGGGCUAAUACCGGAUGCUUGAUUGAACCGCAGGGUUCAAUUAUAAAAGGGGGCUUUUCACCCCCCCUUACAAAUGGACCCCCGGCCCAAUAACUUUUUGGGGGGGUAACGGCCCCCCAAGGGCAACAUGCCUACCCCACCUGAAAGGGUGAUCGGCCACCCUGGGACUGAAACCCGGCCCAAACCCCCACGGGAGGGCACAAUAGGGAAUCUUCCCCAAUGGAAAAAAGUUUGACGGAACCACCCCCCGGGAGUGAAGAAGGUUUUCGGAACCUAAAACUCUUUUGUUAGGGAAAAACAAAUACCGUUCAAAUAGGGGGGUACCUUGACGGUCCCUAACCAAAAAGCCACGGCUAAAUACGUGCCCACCCCCGCGGUAAUACCUAUGUGGCAAGCGUUGUCCGGAAUUAUUGGGCGUAAAGCGCGCGCAGGGGGUUUUUUAAGUCAGAUGUGAAAGCCCCCGGCUCAACCGGGGAGGGUCAUGGAAACUGGGAGAACUUGAGUGCAAAAGAAGAGAGUGAACUCCACGUGUAGCCGUUAAAUGCCUAGAGAUGUAGAAGAACCACAGUGCAACGCUACUCUCUGCGUCUGUACUGACCCUAAGGCGCGAAAGCGUGGGGAGCGAACAGGAUUAGAUACCCUGGUAGUCCACGCCGUAAACGAUGAGUGCUAAGUGUUAGAGGGUUUCCGCCCUUUAGUGCUGCAGCAAACGCAUUAAGCACUCCGCCUGGGGAGUACGGUCGCAAGACUGAAACUCAAAGGAAUUGACGGGGGCCCGCACAAGCGGUGGAGCAUGUGGUUUAAUUCGAAGCAACGCGAAGAACCUUACCAGGUCUUGACAUCCUCUGACAACCCUAGAGAUAGGGCUUCCCCUUCGGGGGCAGAGUGACAGGUGGUGCAUGGUUGUCGUCAGCUCGUGUCGUGAGAUGUUGGGUUAAGUCCCGCAACGAGCGCAACCCUUGAUCUUAGUUGCCAGCAUUCAGUUGGGCACUCUAAGGUGACUGCCGGUGACAAACCGGAGGAAGGUGGGGAUGACGUCAAAUCAUCAUGCCCCUUAUGACCUGGGCUACACACGUGCUACAAUGGGCAGAACAAAGGGCAGCGAAGCCGCGAGGCUAAGCCAAUCCCACAAAUCUGUUCUCAGUUCGGAUCGCAGUCUGCAACUCGACUGCGUGAAGCUGGAAUCGCUAGUAAUCGCGGAUCAGCAUGCCGCGGUGAAUACGUUCCCGGGCCUUGUACACACCGCCCGUCACACCACGAGAGUUUGUAACACCCGAAGUCGGUGAGGUAACCUUUGGAGCCAGCCGCCGAAGGUGACAGAUAGGGG